CAACGUUCCUGUUGAUGCUGAUGACGAUGGUGAUACUGAAGCUGAUGCUGAUCAUCAUCUUCAUCAUUAUCAACGUCAUCAGAAUCAUUUGAA
rnacentral:pre_miRNA from 1 species